rnacentral:rRNA from 1 species
UUAUCGAGAGGGAUAGCCAUGCUAGUCGCGCGCGUCCAACCAUGAGGACGAGCGGCAGACCGCUCAGUAACACGUAGUUAACCUACCCUCGGGUCGCGGAUACCCCCGGGAAACUGGGGUUAAUCCACGAUAGGUGUGGAGGCCUGGAAUGGUUCCACGCUCAAAGGGACGACGAUCAUGUUUGUCGUGUGCCCGAGGAUGGGACUGCGGCCGAUCAGGCAGUUGGCGAGGUAACGGCUCACCAAACCUUUGACCGGUACGGGCCAUGAAAGUGGUAGCCCGGAGAUGGGCACUGAGACAGGGGCCCAGGCCCUACGGGGCGCAGCAGGCGCGAAACCUCCACAAUGUGCGGAAGCACGAUGGGGUUAUCUCGAGUGCAGUCCGAUAAGGGCUGCUUUUCCAUAGAGUAAUAUCCUGUGGGAAUAAGAGGGGGGCAAGACUGGUGUCAGCCGCCGCGGUAACACCAGCCCCUCGAGUGGUGGGGACUAUUAUUUGGUCUAAAGCGUCCGUAGCUGGCUGUAUCAGUUUCCCGUCAAAUUCGGCGUCCUAAGCGUCGGUCUUCGGGAAAUACCAUACAGCUAGAGGGUGGGAUAGGUGAGCGGUAUUUCUGGGGUAGGGGCGAAAUCCUUUGAUCCCAGGAGGACCACCAGUGGCGAAGGCUGCUCACUAGAACACGCCUGGUGGUCAGGGACGAAAGCUGGGGCAGCGAACCGGAUUAGAUACCCGGGUAGUCCCAGCUGUAAACGAUGCUAGCUAAGGUGUCGGGUCGGCCACGCGCCGCCCCAGUGCCGCAGGGAAAGCCGUUAAGCUAGCCACCUGGGGAGUACGGCCGCAAGGCUGAAACUUAAAGGAAUUGGCGGGGGAGCACCACCAGGCGUGAAGCCUGCGGUUUAAUUGGAGUCAACGCCGGG